UACGGAGGGUGCGAGCGUUGUCCGGAAUCACUGGGCGUAAAGGGCGCGUAGGCGGCCAUUCAAGUCAGGGGUGAAAGCCUGUGGCUCAACCACAGAAUUGCCUUUGAUACUGUUUGGCUAGAGACCGGAAGAGGUAAGUGGAACUGCGAGUGUAGAGGUGAAAUUCGUAGAUAUUCGCAAGAACACCAGUGGCGAAGGCGGCUUA
rnacentral:rRNA from 1 species